rnacentral:rRNA from 1 species
UACGUAGGGUGCAAGCGUUGUCCGGAAUUAUUGGGCGUAAAGGGCUCGUAGGCGGUCUGUCGCGUCGGGAGUGAAAACUCAGGGCUUAACCCUGAGCCUGCUUCCGAUACGGGCAGACUAGAGGUAUGCAGGGGAGAACGGAAUUCCUGGUGUAGCGGUGAAAUGCGCAGAUAUCAGGAGGAACACCGGUGGCGAAGGCGGUUCUCUGGGCAUUACCUGACGCUGAGGAGCGAAAGUGUGGGGAGCGAACAGG